rnacentral:rRNA from 1 species
UGAAACCGUUUAGGGGUAAACCUGAGAAACCCGAAAGGUCGAAGGGAGAAAUUCAUUCGCGUUUCGAGGCAGGCUUCGGGCGGAUCGGUAGACGGGAGACGUGUUCGCACGUUUUCCGCUCCGUCCAUUCGAAGAUCCGGUCGCGAACGCGUGCACUUUUCUCCUGGUAGGACGUCGCGAUCCGUUGGGUGUCGGUCUACGGUUCCGGGAUAAGUCCGUCGGUCGAUUCACGUCGAACCGAUUGGGUCCUGGACGCCCGACCGACUCGCCCGACGGUAUAAGAAAGGUUCGAGGCCGCUCGUUUUCGGAGCGUCUGACUCGCGGCAAGCGCGUCAGUUAGUGUCGGUGAUCGGACCUAGUGCCGUUCCUGGCCGCUGGCGUCUGUUGGCCGCGACCCUCUUGGACAGACCUCGUAACCGAUCGGCGACGCUAUAGCUUUGGGUACUUUCAGGACCCGUCUUGAAACACGGACCAAGGAGUCUAGCAUGUGCGCGAGUCAUUGGGAAUCAUUAAACCUAAAGGCGCAAUGAAAGUAAAGGUCUUCCUUGCGGAGACCGAGGGAAGACGGGCGUUUCGGCCUUAAAACCGAGCGCUCUGCAUUCCCGGGGCGUCUCGUUCUCAUCGCGAGAAGAGGCGCACCAAGAGCGUACACGCUGGGACCCGAAAGAUGGUGAACUAUGCCUGGUCAGGACGAA